rnacentral:rRNA from 1 species
GUCCACGCUGUAAACGAUGAGAGCUAGUUGUCGGCACGCAUGCGUGUCGGUGACGCAGCUAACGCAUUAAGCUCUCCGCCUGGGGAGUACGGCCGCAAGGUUAAAACUCAAAGAAAUUGACGGGGGCCCCGCACAAGCGGUGGAGCAUGUGGUUUAAUUCGAAGCAACGCGAAGAACCUUACCCACGUUUGACAUGUCUAGUUUGGUCGCGAGAGAUCGCUUCCUUCAGUUCGGCUGGCUAGAACACAGGUGCUGCAUGGCUGUCGU